GCAGUGGUGGUUCAGUGGUAGAAUUCUUGCCUUCCAUGCGGGAGACCCAGGUUCAAUUUCUGGCCAAUGUG
rnacentral:tRNA from 1 species